AUUGAACGCUAGCGGCAGGCCUAACACAUGCAAGUCGAACGAGUGGCGGACGGGUGAGUAAUGUCUGGGAAACUGCCUAGUGGCGGGGGAUAACUACUGGAAACGGUAGCUAAUACCGCAUACCAUCGGAUGUGCCCAGAUGGGAUUAGCUAGUAGGUGGGGUAACGGCUCACCUAGGCAACGAUCCCUAGCUGGUCUGAGAGGAUGACCAGCCACACUGGAACUGAGACACGGCCCAGACUCCUACGGGAGGCAGCAGUGGGGAAUAUUGCACAAUGGGCGCAAGCCUGAUGCAGCCAUGCCGCGUGUAUGAAGAAGGCCUUCGGGUUGUAAAGUACUUUCGGCGGGGAGGCGUUACCCGCAGAAGAAGCACCGGCUAACUCCGUGCCAGCCGCCGCGGUAAUUC
rnacentral:rRNA from 1 species